rnacentral:rRNA from 1 species
AACGCGAAGAACCUUACCUGGGCUCGAAAUGUAGAGGACGACGUUAGAGAUAACGUUUCUCGAAAGGGUCUCUAUAUAGGUGCUGCAUGGCUGUCGUCAGCUCGUGCCGUGAGGUGUUUGGUUAAGUCCAGCAACGAGCGCAACCCUUAUCGUUAGUUGCCAACGCGUGAAGGCGGGAACUCUAACGAGACUGCCUAGGUUAACUAGGAGGAAGGUGAGGAUGACGUCAAGUCCGCAUGGCCUUUAUGUCCAGGGCUACACACGUGCUACAAUGGUCGCCACAGAAGGCAGCAGAACCGCGAGGUGAAGCAAAUCCUAAUAAAGGCGAUCUCAGUUCAGAUUGCAGUCUGCAACUCGGCUGCAUGAAGUUGGAAUUGCUAGUAAUGGCGUGUCAGCAACAACGCCGUGAAUACGUUCCCGGGCCUUGUA